GGGUUCGGCCGGGAUUUGAACACGGGACCUCUCGCACACAAAGCGAGAAUCAUACCCCUAGACCACCGAACC
rnacentral:tRNA from 13 species